rnacentral:rRNA from 1 species
UACGUAGGGUGCAAGCGUUAAUCGGAAUUACUGGGCGUAAAGCGUGCGCAGGCGGUUUUGUAAGUCUGUCGUGAGAUCCCCGGGCUCAACCUGGGAAUUGCGAUGGAGACUGCAAGGCUAGAAUCUGGCAGAGGGGGGUAGAAUUCCACGUGUAGCAGUGAAAUGCGUAGAGAUGUGGAGGAACACCGAUGGCGAAGGCAAUCCCCUGGACCUGUACUGACGCUCAUGCACGAAAGCGUGGGGAGCAAACAGG